rnacentral:snoRNA from 1 species
AUGCAGUCUUAAAAACAGCAAAACUGUGUUCCCCACUGCUCAAAACAAUGUUGUUCCUUAACUAUACCUGUCUGCUAGACACCUGUAGUAGCCAGGGAUGCUUGGUCUCAUACAU